rnacentral:rRNA from 1 species
UACGGGGGGGGGCAAGCGUUGUUCGGAAUUACUGGGCGUAAAGGGCGCGUAGGCGGUUGGAUAAGUCAGCUGUGAAAACCACGGGCUUAACUCGUGGCCUGCAGUUGAGACUGUCUGGCUUGAGUGUGGGAGAGGAGAGUGGAAUUCCUGGUGUAGCGGUGAAAUGCGUAGAUAUCAGGAGGAACACCGGUGGCGAAGGCGGCUCACUGGCCAGUUUCUGACGCUGCAGCGCGAAAGCGUGGGGAUCAAACAGG